AGAUACAUCUGCCUGCAUCACCCUGGCUUAGGCCUGGUGUCCUGAUUGCUCACAAAGAGGGGUACAAGCCUUCCAUAUUGUCCUGACAAUGAACCAGGAACAGAAAGGACGUAUCACUUCCAGCAGACAGAGUUGUGAACUGGUGACUCCCUUACCUCAUCUGAGCCUUCAAGUGAGCUGCGGUGCCAGCCUCUGUGGAAAGCCCUCGCUGACCCCGUGCAGG